rnacentral:rRNA from 1 species
UACGUAGGGGGCAAGCGUUGUCCGGAAUCAUUGGGCGUAAAGCGCGUGUAGGCGGCUCGGUAAGUCCGCUCUGAAAGUCCGGGGCUCAACCCCGGGAGGCGGGUGGAUACUGUCGAGCUAGAGUCCGGGAAGAGGCGAGUGGAAUUCCUGGUGUAGCGGUGAAAAUGCGCAGAUAUCAGGAGGAACACCAAUGGCGAAGGCAGACUCGCUGGGACGGUACUGACGCUGAGACGCGAAAGCGUGGGGAGCAAACAGG